UACGUAGGGUGCGAGCGUUAAUCGGAAUUACUGGGCGUAAAGGGUGCGUAGGCGGUUCGUCGCGUCGGCUGUGAAAACCCGGAGCUCAACUCCGGGCCUGCAGUCGAUACGGGCGGACUUGAGUGUUGCAGGGGAGACUGGAAUUCCUGGUGUAGCGGUGAAAUGCGCAGAUAUCAGGAGGAACACCGGUGGCGAAGGCGGGUCUCUGGGCAACUACUGACGCUGGAGGAGCGAAAGCGUGGGGAGCAAACAGG
rnacentral:rRNA from 1 species